AGGAUUUUAAGUUAUCUAAACUAAAAGCCUUCAAAGCUUUAAAAAAAAGUAAACCCUUUUAAAUCCUA
rnacentral:tRNA from 1 species